rnacentral:ncRNA from 1 species
GCAAUAGAGGCGCGAAGCUCAAGAGUAAUCGUCCGGAGGCUGCGGAAAGCCAGGGAAGGACGGAGAAAGGGAACUUCGCCGAAACCGGCGCUGUCCGCAGGCGCUGCAGUUGGGGUACAGUCGAACAGGCUGUGCACUCUCACCGGAAGGUGG